rnacentral:lncRNA from 1 species
CAACAUUAAAGAAGUCUUUCAUCUUGAACUUCAAAUAAAAAUGGUGCACUGAAAAGAAGGUAGGGCAUGAAGCCAUCCCUGGAGAAUCAGAAAUUCUCAACACGAUUGCUGUUCUAAAUAGUGGCCAGGAAAUUAUGAGGAUUUUUCAAUUGUUAAGUAACAACCAAAAUCACAAGAUGUUUUCACUCUCAGGUGAGGUACAGCUGAUGCCACAUUUCACUGAAUUUCUUCACAGAGUCAGCCGUAGACAAACCAGCAAGGUAAAUAUAGCAGUGAUUCUCAGAGUUUGCAUAAACUUGAAUAAAAUGAAGAUUUCAAUAAAUUCAGUAGAUCUAGGCUAGAGUUCAGUAUUCUGGAUUGUUAGUAAGUAUCCUUGGCAACUCUGAAGUUUAGUCCCUAAACCAUAUUUUUAAAACACUAUUAUUGAAUUUAUUUUUCUAAUUCCUCUGUCAGCUGUCUAUCCCCUAAUCCUUCCCAUGGCUUCCACAUCUUAGGGGACACAACCUGCCUGCUUCUUUUCUCAUAGAACACAGUAGAUGAGAAUUCUGUUUACACUACGAUGCUAGGGACUCAAAACUCCUGGAAAUUAUUGCAAAAACAUAAGCUGAGAAGGCUAAUGAAAAAAUGAUAUUCGGGGCCACAGGCUCAGGAUCCAAACCACCGAGGAUCACAUCAAACCUCUGACACUCAGUUGGUGUGUGACAUUGGGCAAGAUGCGUCAGAGCUCAUUGUUUAAUGCCUUUCAGAAUGGUUUAGAGAAUUAAAUGAGCUCAUGUGUAUAAGAUCUAGAGCUACAUACUCUUUUCUUUACAUUAAAAGUCUUUUAAUUAACUUAACAUAAUUAAUGAAUUAACAUUUUAGUGAUAUUUAAUUUCUUAUAAUUAAACUAAAAUAUGUUUCUGAAUUUGUUUGUGUGAACAAAUAUAAACCGAUUAGCUUGGCUUUUGAUUCUAUAGUGAAAGAGACUAUGGUAGACUGAGGAUUUGCCUGUAAGCCUAAAUUCUAGAAACUUUCUGUAGAGGGGACCCCUCAGUCCAUUCUGUCCUGUCCACUAUAAGCUGUCCCAGCCCCUACAUUUGACAGAUUAGUUAAUGACUGUGCUCAGUUUGAAAGAGCUCCCGCGGGCUAGUGUUGGAGGUUAUAUUACAGCUGAUUUCCUAUAACUAUAUUUGAUGUGAUACUUUAAAAAAUGACUAGUUGAGUGAGAACAUUUGUAAGUUAUGCUUUUGUUUUCCUAUGCAGUGUUUAUAUUUAUUAAGCAUACAUAUAAGUGUAUGGGCCUAUGCUUAUAUAUAAAGCAAACUAGCGGCUUUAAGAGGCUUAUGUAAAUAUUCUGGAUAAUUUGAGAUCCCAAAGGCAUCCAGUUGCCCUUAGCUUGGAAGGCUGACAUUACCAGGAUAAUUGUGGCACAUCCUUUGACUUUAUUUCUGGGCAUUCAGUCUUAGUCAAAGCUAUAUUUAAAUAAUUGAGAUGUUUUGCCAAUAGUCCCUUUGUUUCAAAGAGUAUAAACCUCAUGUUACAAGUGCAGAAAUCAAUAUGCUCCUAUUUCUGUUCUGCUACUUUGCAAAAUAAGUUUUUGUUGUUGUUUUUUGUUUUGAGAAAAGCACCAGGCUAGGCAGGUCAUAUAAUCUCAAUAAUUAAUUAAAUUCAAUGAAACUGAGAACGAUGAACUUAGAAAUGUUAUAGAGUAAAAUCUCAAAGCAUGAACAAAUAUCAAAUAACUGUUGAAACUAAAACAUGAGCAUAUUUCAUGUUGUUUCCCAUUCUCCCCUGGUUGUCAUAGACACUGCUGGCUGCCGCAACAAACCAUCCCCUUCCUUCGUUCUUGAUGACAGAACCAAAACUCUGUUCAUGUUUAUGUGUUCUUGCACAUGCUCUGUGUGUUUGGGAAGGUUGGCUGCAUCCUUAGUUUCACAGGACAAAUAUUGAUUAUUCUAAGCUAGUAUAGGUAAAAACAUCUAAGAAAUGGAGUCCGAUGUUGGUGCAAGGAGAGGUGAUGCCUAAGCUCUGUAGCCAUCCUAUGAUACAGGCUUCCAUCAACAAAACCUGGGUUUGACAGUGAUGCUGAACCAUGAAAUUAGUCAACUCUGCAGCUAAAUCUUAGGCUACUUGUUCUAAGAGAUAGCAAAUAGUUUUGUUUUUCAAAAAAACUUUAUCGUACUAGGCAUACUUUCUAUUAAAACUCAGGAGUCACUGAUUUUAAUACAUAGACUUUAUUCAAUUGGAUAAUUACUGAAAUAAAAUAUUAGGUAAAAUCA